rnacentral:rRNA from 1 species
GUAGGGAAUUUUCGGCAAUGGGCGAAAGCCUGACCGAGCAACGCCGCGUGAGUGAAGACGGCCUUCGGGUUGUAAAGCUCUGUUGUAAAGGAAGAACGACUGGGAUAGAAUCUCAGAGUGACGGUACUUUAUUAGAAAGCCACGGCUAACUACGUGCCAGCAGCCGCGGUAAUACGUAGGUGGCAAGCGUUAUCCGGAAUUAUUGGGCGUAAAGGGUGCGCAGGCGGUCUUUUAAGUUUAUGGUGAAAGCGUGGGGCUCAACCCCAUAUAGCCAUAGAUACUGGGAGACUAGAGUGCAGAAGAGGGUAGUGGAAUUCCAUGUGUAGCGGUAAAAUGCAUAGAUAUAUGGAGGAACACCAGUGGCGAAGGCGGCUACCUGGUCUGUAACUGACGCUCAAGCACGAAAGCGUGGGGAGCAAAUAGGAUUAGAAACCCUAGUAGUCC